GACGAACCGUGCGAACGUUGUUCGGAAUAACUGGGCUUAAAGGGCGCGUAGGCGGGCUAUCAAGUCUGGGGUGAAAUCCCGCGGCUCAACCGUGGAACUGCCUCAGAUACUGACGGCCUAGAGGAAGGUAGGGGCAUGCGGAACUAACGGUGGAGCGGUGAAAUGCGUUGAUAUCGUUAGGAACUCCGGUGGCGAAAGCGGCGUGCUGGACCUUUUCUGACGCUGAGGCGCGAAAGCUAGGGGAGCAAACAGG
rnacentral:rRNA from 1 species